rnacentral:lncRNA from 1 species
CAGGUAAGGAACCGUCUAGAAACUGAAUCUCAAGAAUUCUUUAUCAUAGGAGAUAGCUUUCCCCAGGGCCCCGACUUUCCGGGUGGAAAAAAGUUCUGAUUAUUGGCCCGGGAACAUCGCGGGGCAGGGUGCCCAUUUCCAAGGCUCAGACCUGGUUGGAAAGCAAAGUUUUCCAGGAGGCCAUUCCUUCCAGCUCCCUUCCCGGUCCCGACCAGGUACUCAGCCCCUCACUCGGAGCCCGGCCCACUGGCCCAGCCCCCCAUUUCCGGAGUCUGCGCCCCGGGACCUGGCCGGGACUGGUCCCGGGGGAGGCCUAGUUCUCUCUUCUUUCCCGCCCCUGCCUUACCUCCACCCGUCGCCACGACCACCCAGAGUCCGGGGCUCAGAAGAGAGGAGAGCACCCACCUGGUCGGAGUCACAUGCUGCCCCGGGCUGGCCCGAGAGUCCCCUCCAGGUCCGGGCGCCCGCCGCGGUCCCCAGCCAGGCCAGGCCGCCCCGGCGCCCCACCCGCGGCCCGCCCCUGCCGCCGGACGGGAGGGAGGGACCGGCUUCUCCCAAGGAAGUUUCAGGAAUGCUGUGGCCCACAACUGCAAUCAGCUUUUGUGGGUAGACUGUCCCCUGAUCCCUGUGUCCACCGCUGCUGCACUGGCCCUGGCAGAAGAGGCUAAGCAGUUGUUUGGAAGGCCCUGCAGAAUCAAACAUGACCAAGGGAGAAAGGUCUCCUCUCUGAUAGUCCUGAAGCAAUGCAGUGUUCAAAAAAUGCCCUAGUUCCGUCAUGCUCUUUUGAAGGAUUAAACUUUAAAGAGUUUAGCUAGCUUAGACACACUCAUAAUUGCAAUGAAGUAUACAGGAAAUAAUAAGAAAUGCCAAGUCUAGGAUUCGGCCAUAUAAGGGCAGGCCAGCAUGCUUCAUAAACCCAGCAAGGGCAUAAGAACAAGGAGUGAAGAGAAUCCGAAAAUUAAAGCUGGUCAAAAAGUUCCUUCUAGACUGGGAGAGAAACCCUAAGGACUCAGAAAGUCCUGAUCUCUAGUGGGUGAACACAUUUUGUGAAUCUCUGCUGCAGAAGUUGCUGGUGUCUGACAGCACUCCUGCUUGGGCACAGCCAGUGUGGACAGGGAGCUGGGCAUUCUCAUUGCUGCCCUUGGCUCUCCUCAGUGAAAGCUCACUUUCCGUUUUCUCUUCAUCUGGCUCUCACAGCCUGACCUCCCUGUGUGUGCUGAUUCUGAGCUGGCAACAUUGUUGCUCUUUAAGUCUCUACCCUCUUUGCUCUGAUCUCCAGCUCUUUUCACUAGUUAAACAGGGAAAUAAAUGUACGCCAGGCUUUCCCA